UACCAUUUGGACUCCAGUGGUAGCUACGGGAGAAGAUGUUCGUGGAAGAGGUAUCCACAGGCCAGGAGUGUGGAGUGGUGCUGGACAAGACCUGUUUCUAUGCCGAGCAAGGAGGGCAGAUCUAUGACGAAGGCUACCUAGUGAAGGUGGAUGACAGCAGUGAGGAUAAAACAGAGUUUACAGUGAAGAAUGCUCAGGUCCGAGGAGGGUAUGUGCUACACAUUGGAACGAUCUACGGUGACCUGAAAGUGGGGGAUCAGGUCUGGCUGUUUAUUGAUGAGCCCCGACGACGACCCAUCAUGAGCAACCACACAGCUACACACAUACUGAACUUCGCCCUGCGCUCAGUGCUUGGGGAAGCUGACCAGAAAGGCUCAUUGGUUGCUCCUGACCGCCUCAGAUUUGACUUUACUGCCAAGGGAGCCAUGUCCACCCAACAGAUCAAGAAGGCUGAAGAGAUUGCUAAUGAGAUGAUUGAGGCAGCCAAGGCACCUGCGGAACUCGAGUCACGCAGGAGCUUUUGUGAUCGUGACGGAAGAAGCCAUUGCCAAGGGUAUCCGGAGGAUUGUGGCUGUCACAGGUGCCGAAGC
rnacentral:sRNA from 1 species